GCCGGGUGCAGUGGUGCAGGCCUGUAGUUCCAGCUACUCAAGAGGCUGAAGUAAGAGGAUCACUGGAGCCCAGGGGUUCUGGGCUGUACUGUGCUAUGCUGAUCAGGUGUCCACACUAAGUUCACCAUCAAUAUGAUGACCUCCCAGGUGGGAAAUGGAGCAAGUGAAAACUCCCGUGCUGAUCAGUAGUGGGAUCAUGUCUGUGAAUAACCACUGCACUCCAACUGGGCAACAUAGCAAGACCCCAUCUCU
rnacentral:SRP_RNA from 1 species